AGGGCUCGCUCUCUGUCCUCUCUUCCCUCCUUGGUGGUUCGUCGGUCCUGGCUGCGGCGGGCCGCGUGGGCAGCAGGGACGGUGCGGCCUGACUCCUCCAUGGGGAGCUGGGCCCGCGCAGGGUGUGGGGCGGCGGGGAGGGCGGGUCGCUGCGCCGGCGGCUCUCGCGCCUCUCCCGCUGUGCCCUUCUGCUGCGCCCCGCCGCGGCCCCGGAUCGCCGGUAGAUGCGGGAGCCGGGUGAGGCUGGCCCCGCGGGUGGCCGCUCCGGGAGCAUGUCCGACAUGGCAGCAGAAAUAAGGAGCUUUGUGCAGAUAAAUGGUCACACCUGACUGAAAUGCUCAUGAAGACACCUCUUAGGAAUGAAGAAGUGCCUCUGCUGAGAAAUGCCUAGAUGUACUUCAUAGAACUUGCAAGACACUUUGACAUGAAUCUCCUUGAAGAGUGACAAAUUCCCAGGGGGAAAAAUGAACAAAACAUAAGAUUCAAACUUGCAGCUCCUGCUUUGAUGAAAGUGUAGUAGUGAUUACUGAUUUCAUCCAUGGUCAUUUAAUUGUUUUCUGUAAUGUAUCAUGUCUCAAAAAACAAUAAGAUAAGUAAUGGCUAGGACAGCACAACAGUUGGUAGCUUCAGUUUGCAUGGUUAAAGUUUUGACCCAGUUUAUGUUUAAGUUCUGAAAUGGAAUAAAACUAGUGUCAUUCAUCUUUGAAUUUACUUUGAAUAACAUAUUUGGGGAAUUUUUAUACUAUAUUCAACUAAUAAAGAAUUUUGUAGUACAA